rnacentral:rRNA from 1 species
CCUACGGGAGGCAGCAGUAAGGAAUAUUGGACAAUGGACGCAAGUCUGAUCCAGCCAUGCCGCGUGAAGGAUUAAGGCCCUCUGGGUUGUAAACUUCUUUUAUAGGGGACGAAAAAAGGGCUUUCUAGCUCGACUGACGGUACCCUAUGAAUAAGCACCGGCUAACUCCGUGCCAGCAGCCGCGGUAAUACGGAGGGUGCAAGCGUUAUCCGGAUUCACUGGGUUUAAAGGGUGCGUAGGCGGGCAGUUAAGUCAGUGGUGAAAUCUUCGAGCUCAACUCGGAAACUGCCAUUGAUACUAUCUGUCUUGAAUACUGUGGAGGUGAGCGGAAUAUGUCAUGUAGCGGUGAAAUGCUUAGAUAUGACAUAGAACACCGAUUGCGAAGGCAGCUCGCUACACAAAUAUUGACGCUGAGGCACGAAAGCGUGGGGAUCAAACAGGAUUAGAUACCCUGUAGUCCACGCCCUAAACUAUGAUUACUCGACAUAUGCGAUACACUGUAUGUGUGUGAGAGAAGAGAUAAGUAAGUACUUACGUUAGGUAGUUACGACGACGAGUUAGACGACGAANAGAGUUAGACGACGNGAGAGNGCGAGGACGACGACGAGGAGAG